rnacentral:rRNA from 1 species
AACACACCUUGCGCUCCUUGGUAUUCCAAGGAGCAUGCCUGUUCGAGUGUCAUGAAGUUCUCAAGCUGUGGUGCUUUUAUUAGCUACUUAGCUUGGUUAUUGGGCUCUGCCAUGUCCCUUUCAUUUGGGAUGGCUGGCCUUAAAAGUAUUAGCUUUGAUCCCUGGUGUGGAUUGGUUCUACUCAGUGUGAUAAUAAUCUUGACUGCUGAGGACAUCUUUCAGGGUGGCCAGUUCUCCUUGGGGUUGCUCUCUAAUCAGGAUUGCAACAUUUAACAAAUUUUGCUCCACUUCCAAUUUUGACCUCAAAUCAGGUGGGACUACCUGCUGAACUUAA